rnacentral:lncRNA from 1 species
AGCCAUUAGUAGGUUAGAACCCCUUGACCUGCUGAGAGGAUCAUUGUGCUUUUUUUCACUAUCCAUCAUAAUUGCUUGGGAGAUGAAUAACAAAACAUAUUCGUAUCUAGGGGAAAGAGAGACUCAGACCCAAUGGAGAUUUCAUGUUGUAUUGUUCCUACCAAGUUCAUGUUCAGACUCAGUGGAUGAGUCCCCAACUCAGCUCUCAGAAGUCUAAGUUCUGAAAGUCAAAGGCCUCAAUGUUGGACUGACCGGCUGCAAAAACUGGAUGGAGUUCACCUUCUAUUGGGCGGACGAUGUACAAUCAACAACCAAAAAAAGGAAGUGCAGUAAAUGCAUGAAGUUAUACUAGGUUAGCUGGAGGGAUUGGAAAACACUUCAUGAAAGAGGUAGUGCCU